rnacentral:lncRNA from 1 species
AACAAUCACAAAAUCCAUUAUCUCAUAAUCAGAGGCUCUGGGUUAGGAGGUGAAGAGAAAAGAAGGGGUCACUCAGGAAAUAACACAGGAGCGCCAGAGGGGAGGUGUCGCCCAGUCUCUGCCUUUGUGGUAUUUGGUUUUGUUUGUUGUGUGUUUGAGGUGUUUUGAACGCAGGGGAGGGGGGCUGCGCGUGAGAAUUCGCCGUCUGCAAGUUGAUGGCCUGACCCUUAAACUCCUUUGCCGAAUCCUCCUUCAGGGUGUGCCUGGCCAAGCAUCUCUUGGUAGCCUGGAGUGAGUUCGCACGUGGGAGAAAGAGGAUGCAAUUUUGCCUGUGAAUGCAUUUGCUCUAAAUGCGUUGGCUUCGUUCCUCCUUCGGUAAAGAAUAUCAACGGAUUUGCUACCCCUCGGAGUAGAUCCAAGAGACGUUGAUUCUCCGGGUCUUUUUCGUCUAGCCAGGAACCUUCCACUGGUUUCUGAUGAAAUACCAGCUACAAAGCUGCGUGAAACCGCCAAGCCUGUGUCACCAAGCUCUGAGCAGCUCCGCGGGCUGGUCCACAGAUAACAUCAGAGCGCCCCCUGCUGGCCAUCAGGGCAGACCGCGGCGGGACAGCCCCCCCGCGAAGCCAACUGUGUUUUUCUGCGCCCCCCACCCUCCACCUACCCUUUCCACUACUCUCACCCUCGUCCGCUGCAGCGAGGGAAUAGCUUGUCAUGGCUGAACAUUUAAAUGAAUAAAUUUAAAAAAUAAUAAUAAAACA